GACGAACGCUGGCGGCGUGCUUAACACAUGCAAGUGGAGCGACGAACCGGGGCUUGCCCCGGGGCAGAGCCGCGAACGGGUGAGUAACACGUGGGUAACCCACCCCGAUGACCGGGACAACCCGAGGAAACUCGGGCUAAUACCGGAUGUGCUCCUUGACCUCGAGGUCAAGGCGUAAAGAUAGCUUCGGCCUUCGCAUCGGGACGGCCCGCGGCCCAUUAGCUUGUUGGUGGGGUAAAGGCCUACCAAGGCGACGANGGGUAGCUGGUCUGAGAGGACGAUCAGCCACACUGGGACUGAGACACGGCCCAGACUCCUACGGGAGGCAGCAGUGGGGAAUCUUGCGCAAUGCGCGAAAGCGUGACGCAGCAACGCCG
rnacentral:rRNA from 1 species